rnacentral:rRNA from 1 species
GUAGGGAAUAUUGCACAAUGGGGGAAACCCUGAUGCAGCGACGCCGCGUGAGUGAUGAAGGCCUUCGGGUCGUAAAGCUCUGUCGUAUGGGACUAACACAAUGAAGGUACCAUGCAAGAAAGGAUCGGCUAACUUCGUGCCAGCAGCCGCGGUAAGACGAGGGAUCCUAGCGUUGUUCGGAAUCAUUGGGCGUAAAGCGGGUGUAGGCGGAUUUAUAAGUCAGGUGUGAAAUCCCAGGGCUCAACCCUGGAAGUGCACUUGAUACUGUAAAUCUUGAGUGUGGUAGAGGUUACUGGAAUUGUUGGUGUAGUGGUGAAAUACGUAGAUAUCAACAGGAAUACCGGAGGCGAAGGCGAGUAACUGGGCCAACACUGACGCUGAGACCCGAAAGCGUGGGGAUCAAACAGGAUUAGAAACCCGAGUAGUCC